AUAGAUAUAAGUUAAGUGGUAAACUGAAUGUCUUCCACACAUUGAUUGUGAGUUCGAUUCUCACUAUCUAGA
rnacentral:ncRNA from 11 species